rnacentral:tRNA from 2 species
GGGGGGCUGGCGCAACGGUAGCGCGUCAGAUUCCAGACCUGAAGGUUAUCGGUUCAAAUCCGGUGUCCCUCA